UAGUCCACGCCGUAAACGAUGUGUGCUAGCUGUUGGAUAGUAUUCUAUUCAGUGGCUGAGCUAACGUAUUAAGCACACCGCCUGGGGAGUACGGCCGCAAGGCUAAAACUCAAAGGAAUUGACGGGGGGCUCACACAAGCAGUGGAUCACGUGGUUUAAUUCGACAAUAAACGGGGGAAUCUUACCCAGACUUGACAUCCUAGGAAUCUCUCAGAGAUGAGAGAGUGCUUUUAUUAGAGCCUAGUGACAGGUGCUGCAUGGUUGUCGUCAGCUCGUGCCUUGAGGUGUUCGGUUAAGUCCCGUUAACGAGUCGCAACCCCAUGUCUUUAGUUAUUAUGUCUAAAGNGACUGCCUUGGUUAACGNGGAGGAAGGUGUGGGAUGAUGUCAAAUCAGCAUGGCUUUUACGUCUGGGGGCUACACACAUGAUACAAUGGUACGUACAAAGAG
rnacentral:rRNA from 1 species